UACGUAGGGGGCAAGCGUUGUCCGGAUUCAUUGGGCGUAAAGAGCUCGUAGGCGGUUCGGCAAGUCGGGUGUGAAACCUCCAGGCUCAACCUGGAGACGCCACCCGAUACUGCUGUGACUUGAGUCCGGUAGGGGACCACGGAAUUCCUGGUGUAGCGGUGAAAUGCGCAGAUAUCAGGAGGAACACCGGUGGUGUAGACGGCUUUCUGGACCGUAACUGACGCUGAGACACGAAAGCGUGGGUAGCAAACAGG
rnacentral:rRNA from 1 species